rnacentral:rRNA from 1 species
GUGUCAGCCGCCGCGGUAAUACGGAGGGUGCGAGCGUUGUCCGGAAUCAUUGGGUGUAAAGGGUGCGUAGGCGGGCUGCUAAGUCUGGGGUGAAAUCCUGCCGCUUAACGGUAGAAUGGCCCCCGAUACUGGCAGUCUUGAGUACAGAAGAGGUCGGUGGAAUUCGUAGUGUAGCGGUGAAAUGCAUAGAUAUUACGAAGAACACCAGUGGCGAAGGCGGCCGGCUGGUCUGUAACUGACGCUGAGGCACGAAAGCGUGGGGAGCGAACAGGAUUAGAUACCCUGGUGGUCCACGCUGUAAACGACGUAUGCUAGGUGUCGGCCCAUCGGGGUCGGUGCUGCAGUCAACGCAGUAAGCAUACCACCUGGGGAGUACGUCGGCAACGAUGAAACUUAAAUGAAUUGGCGGGG